rnacentral:rRNA from 1 species
UUAAGCGACUAAGCGUACACGGUGGAUGCCCUGGCAGUCAGAGGCGAUGAAGGACGUGCUAAUCUGCGAUAAGCGUCGGUAAGGUGAUAUGAACCGUUAUAACCGGCGAUUUCCGAAUGGGGAAACCCAGUGUGUUUCGACACACUAUCAUUAACUGAAUCCAUAGGUUAAUGAGGCGAACCGGGGGAACUGAAACAUCUAAGUACCCCGAGGAAAAGAAAUCAACCGAGAUUCCCCCAGUAGCGGCGAGCGAACGGGGAGGAGCCCAGAGCCUGAAUCAGUGUGUGUGUUAGUGGAAGCGUCUGGAAAGGCGCGCGAUACAGGGUGACAGCCCCGUACACAAAAAUGCACAUGCUGUGAGCUCGAUGAGUAGGGCGGGACACGUGGUAUCCUGUCUGAAUAUGGGGGGACCAUCCUCCAAGGCUAAAUACUCCUGACUGACCGAUAGUGAACCAGUACCGUGAGGGAAAGGCGAAAAGAACCCCGGCGAGGGGAGUGAAAAAGAACCUGAAACCGUGUACGUACAAGCAGUGGGAGCCUCUUUAUGGGGUGACUGCGUACCUUUUGUAUAAUGGGUCAGCGACUUAUAUUCUGUAGCAAGGUUAACCGAAUAGGGGAGCCGAAGGGAAACCGAGUCUUAACUGGGCGUUAAGUUGCAGGGUAUAGACCCGAAACCCGGUGAUCUAGCCAUGGGCAGGUUGAAGGUUGGGUAACACUAACUGGAGGACCGAACCGACUAAUGUUGAAAAAUUAGCGGAUGACUUGUGGCUGGGGGUGAAAGGCCAAUCAAACCGGGAGAUAGCUGGUUCUCCCCGAAAGCUAUUUAGGUAGCGCCUCGUGAAUUCAUCUCCGGGGGUAGAGCACUGUUUCGGCAAGGGGGUCAUCCCGACUUACCAACCCGAUGCAAACUGCGAAUACCGGAGAAUGUUAUCACGGGAGACACACGGCGGGUGCUAACGUCCGUCGUGAAGAGGGAAACAACCCAGACCGCCAGCUAAGGUCCCAAAGUCAUGGUUAAGUGGGAAACGAUGUGGGAAGGCCCAGACAGCCAGGAUGUUGGCUUAGAAGCAGCCAUCAUUUAAAGAAAGCGUAAUAGCUCACUGGUCGAGUCGGCCUGCGCGGAAGAUGUAACGGGGCUAAACCAUGCACCGAAGCUGCGGCAGCGACGCUUAUGCGUUGUUGGGUAGGGGAGCGUUCUGUAAGCCUGCGAAGGUGUACUGUGAGGUAUGCUGGAGGUAUCAGAAGUGCGAAUGCUGACAUAAGUAACGAUAAAGCGGGUGAAAAGCCCGCUCGCCGGAAGACCAAGGGUUCCUGUCCAACGUUAAUCGGGGCAGGGUGAGUCGACCCCUAAGGCGAGGCCGAAAGGCGUAGUCGAUGGGAAACAGGUUAAUAUUCCUGUACUUGGUGUUACUGCGAAGGGGGGACGGAGAAGGCUAUGUUGGCCGGGCGACGGUUGUCCCGGUUUAAGCGUGUAGGCUGGUUUUCCAGGCAAAUCCGGAAAAUCAAGGCUGAGGCGUGAUGACGAGGCACUACGGUGCUGAAGCAACAAAUGCCCUGCUUCCAGGAAAAGCCUCUAAGCAUCAGGUAACAUCAAAUCGUACCCCAAACCGACACAGGUGGUCAGGUAGAGAAUACCAAGGCGCUUGAGAGAACUCGGGUGAAGGAACUAGGCAAAAUGGUGCCGUAACUUCGGGAGAAGGCACGCUGAUAUGUAGGUGAAGCGACUUGCUCGUGGAGCUGAAAUCAGUCGAAGAUACCAGCUGGCUGCAACUGUUUAUUAAAAACACAGCACUGUGCAAACACGAAAGUGGACGUAUACGGUGUGACGCCUGCCCGGUGCCGGAAGGUUAAUUGAUGGGGUUAGCGGUAACGCGAAGCUCUUGAUCGAAGCCCCGGUAAACGGCGGCCGUAACUAUAACGGUCCUAAGGUAGCGAAAUUCCUUGUCGGGUAAGUUCCGACCUGCACGAAUGGCGUAAUGAUGGCCAGGCUGUCUCCACCCGAGACUCAGUGAAAUUGAACUCGCUGUGAAGAUGCAGUGUACCCGCGGCAAGACGGAAAGACCCCGUGAACCUUUACUAUAGCUUGACACUGAACAUUGAGCCUUGAUGUGUAGGAUAGGUGGGAGGCUUUGAAGUGUGGACGCCAGUCUGCAUGGAGCCGACCUUGAAAUACCACCCUUUAAUGUUUGAUGUUCUAACGUUGGCCCCUAAUCGGGGUUGCGGACAGUGUCUGGUGGGUAGUUUGACUGGGGCGGUCUCCUCCUAAAGAGUAACGGAGGAGCACGAAGGUUGGCUAAUCCUGGUCGGACAUCAGGAGGUUAGUGCAAUGGCAUAAGCCAGCUUGACUGCGAGCGUGACGGCGCGAGCAGGUGCGAAAGCAGGUCAUAGUGAUCCGGUGGUUCUGAAUGGAAGGGCCAUCGCUCAACGGAUAAAAGGUACUCCGGGGAUAACAGGCUGAUACCGCCCAAGAGUUCAUAUCGACGGCGGUGUUUGGCACCUCGAUGUCGGCUCAUCACAUCCUGGGGCUGAAGUAGGUCCCAAGGGUAUGGCUGUUCGCCAUUUAAAGUGGUACGCGAGCUGGGUUUAGAACGUCGUGAGACAGUUCGGUCCCUAUCUGCCGUGGGCGCUGGAGAACUGAGGGGGGCUGCUCCUAGUACGAGAGGACCGGAGUGGACGCAUCACUGGUGUUCGGGUUGUCAUGCCAAUGGCACUGCCCGGUAGCUAAAUGCGGAAGAGAUAAGUGCUGAAAGCAUCUAAGCACGAAACUUGCCCCGAGAUGAGUUCUCCCUGACUCCUUGAGAGUCCUGAAGGAACGUUGAAGACGACGACGUUGAUAGGCCGGGUGUGUAAGCGCAGCGAUGCGUUGAGCUAACCGGUACUAAUGAACCGUGAGGCUUAACCUU